rfam:Danio rerio unplaced genomic contig CTG3250, GRCz11 reference primary assembly.
GCCUGGAUAACUCAGUCGGUAGAGCAUCAGACUUUUAAUCUGAGGGUCCAGGGUUCAAAUCCCUGUUCGGGCG